rnacentral:misc_RNA from 1 species
GAACAAGCACCGAACUUAGAAACCAAGAGCUUCGCCGAGUUUUGUUCUGCUCCGCCACCAUGUGACCUUCUGCAAUCCCACCUCUCUCUCCGUCUGAUUCUCUGUCUCUCUGUUUUUUUGUUUUAGUUUUCUUCCUUUUUUUUAUUCUUGAAAUAACCAGAACUGAACAGAAGAAAAAGAUUCAACAAGAAAGCAACAACAUUAUCCGGUCUUUG